AGCAGAGGAUCCAGAGA
rnacentral:sRNA from 1 species